CACAUGCAAGUCGAGGGGCAUCAAGAAAAAAGCUUGCUUUCUUUGCUGGCGACCGGCGCAAGGGUGAGUAACACAUAUCCCACCUGCCCUUUACACGGGGAUAGCCUUUCAAAGGAAAGAUUAAUACCCGAUAGCAUAAUGAUUCCACAUGGUUUCAUUAUUAAAGGAUUCCGGUAAAGGAUGGGGAUGCGUACCAUUAAAUAGUAGGCGGGGUAACGGCCCACCUAAUCUUCGAUGGAUAGGGGUUCUGAGAGGAAGGUCCCCCACAUUGCAGACUGACACACGGUCACACACUACCUACGGGAGGCAGCAGUGAGGAAUAUUGGUCAAUGAGCGAGAGCCUGAACCACCCCAGUAGCGUGAAGGAUGACUGCCCUAUGGGUUGUAAACUUCUUUUAUAAAAGAAUAAAGUCAGGUAUGGAUACCCGGUUGCAUGUACUUUAUGAAUAAGGAUCGGCUAACUCCGUGCCAGCAGCCGCGGUAAUACUGACGAUCCGAGCGUUAUCCGGAUUUAUUGAGAUUAAAGGGAACGUAAAUGGAUGUUUAAGUCACAUGUGAAGGUUUGCGGCUCAACUCUGUCAAGAUUGCAGUUGAUACUGGAUAUCUUGACUGCAGUUGAGGCGAGAGUGAAUUCGUGGUGUAGCGGUGAAAUGUUUAGAUAUCACGAAGAACUCAGAUUGCGAAGGCAGCCUGCUAAGCUGCAACUGACUUUGAGGCUCGAAAGUGUGGCUAUCAAACAGGAUUAGAUACUCUGGUAGUCCACACGGUAAACGAUGAAUACUCGCUGUUUGCGAUAUACUGCAAGCGGCCAAGCGAAAGCGUUAUGUAUUCCACGUGGGGAGUACGCCGGCAGCGGUGAAACUCAAAGGAAUUGACGGGGGCCCGCACAAGCGGAGGAACAUGUGGUUUAAUUCGAUGAUACGAGAGGAACCUUAGUCCGGGCUUAAAUUGCAGAUGAAUUACGGUGAAAGUCUGUAAGCCGCAAGGCAUCCAUGAAGGUGAUGCAUGGUUGUAGUCAGCUCGUGCCGUGAGGUGUCGGAUUAAGUGCCAUAACGAGCGCAACCCUUGUAGUCAGUUACUAACAGGUUCUCGCUGAGGACUCUGACAAGACUGACCAUCGUAAGAUGUGAGGAAGGUGGGGAUGAUGUCAAAUCAGCACGGCCGUUACGUCCGGGGAUACACACGUGUUACAAUGGGGGGUACAGAGGGCCGGUACCACGGGAGUGGAUGCCAAUCCCCAAACCCUUUGUCAGUUAGGACUGGAGUCUGCAACCCGAAUUCAGGAAGCUGGAUUCUCUAGUAAUAGCGCAUCAGCCAGGGUGCGGUGAAUACGUUCCCGGGCCUUGUACACCCCGCCCGUCAAGCCAUGGGAGCCGGGGGUACGUGAAGUGCGUAAAAGGGAGGAGCGCCCUAGGGUAAAACUGGUGACUGGGGC
rnacentral:rRNA from 1 species